CUCUUAAAUCACCAGGUGAUAUAUCAUAUUAUAUUUUAUUAUUAUUGUGUAAUUUUAUAGAUAUCAUGUAUCAUAAUACUAUAUUAUCAUUUAUUCCUCUAAAUAUAGCAUCAAGCAAAUGUGGGAAAACACACGCUGUCAAAAGGAGAGACUGGUAUAGCUGGCACAUGAAAUGUCAUCGUUCCAACCAGACCAUGCUCAGCUGGCCGAUGUGGAUGGAUCGAGGUCGUCCUGACCUGAAUACCUCAUAUCCCGUGUGGCUCUAUGGCUUUGAAGUACAAAUACACGUCGGAGAAAAUACAAGGCGAACUUUUAACGUCUCCCAACUUGAGCUCCACAAUAAAGCAAGAACGAGAUGCAUAAAAGGAAAAACUUUUUUUGAAAACGGAUACUCUACAAUUGAAGCAGCUAAAAAUGAGUGCAUUGCAAAUAAAGCAAUAUUGCCUACCGUGAGUCCAAUUAACAUAGAACAGUUUGGCGUUGCUCAAGACAUCAUUGACGUUCCAUUUUGGAUACAACCACUGAGUGUUAGAAAAUUCACCGAAGCCCACUGCUAUUUGCUCGACCAAGAUUUGAAAGUAAGGAAAAGCAACUGUUCUGAAAAAUAUCCUUCAGUCUGCGUAAAUGAAUCAGUUCAUGACGUUAUGACGUACGUUGGACAAGAGUCACGCACUGAAUUGUAUAAAGCGUCGUUGACCUUUACGCUUUCCUCUACGUCAGAAUAAAGCACACUACGCAAUCAGGAAACGAAUGGUGACGUCAGUGUUGCACCUAGAGUUUCAAACGACACAAUACUUUCUACAGAAAACAACACAAUACUUUCUUCGGGGAGUGACGGACACCCGAAGACGGAAAUAAUUAUCAUCUUUACGCUCAUUUCUGUGGGUGUGGUUACAGGCGUAGCUUCCGUCUUAACCAUUACCAUUUACUGCAGGCUUAAAAGUAUGUCGAAACCCAACAGAAAAGCGGAGAUGUCGGGCAAUUACUGGAACACACCAGAGAUUGUCGAAGACAGAAAAUCUGAUAUGUAUGAACAUUGUGGACAUUCCUCGGGUAUCUACUAUAACACGGAGGAGCAAUUUGUCGUUAUAUCUCCACAGGCAUAUUAGGACAGGAACAACUUAUUACGGUUCUUUCUUUUCUCCGGAUUGGGUUCUGUGCUUGACUUUUUUCGAUUUUAAUAGCUUAUAUCUAAAUACACAACGGUUUGAAUUUGUGACACGUAGGGUUUAACGAACGAAAACUAGUUGAUCAUUUGCCAAUAAAUAUUAAUAAUGCUAAGUUCGAUGCU